rnacentral:rRNA from 1 species
AAGGUUCAUGUGACUGAGCGGCGGACGGGUGAGUAACGCGUGGGCAACCUGCCUUACACAGGGGGGUAACAGUUAGAAAUGACUGCUAAUACCGCAUAAGACCCCGGGACCGCAUGGUUCCGAGGUAAAAACUCCGGUGGUGUAAGAUGGGCCCGCGUCUGAUUAGGUAGUUGGCGGGGUAACGGCCCACCAAGCCGACGAUCAGUAGCCGACCUGAGAGGGUGACCGGCCACAUUGGGACUGAGACACGGCCCAGACUCCUACGGGAGGCAGCAG